AUGAAGAAUUUUUCAUUUCCUAUGCAGGAUAGCACACAUCAGACUGAAAGUCCUCCUCACAGAUUCCUGGGUUUGACAAAUAAGUCAGAUCCUGUUGGAAGACCGGAAAGAGAUGAGCAAUUAGCUCAAGUAGAGAUUGCUGUACUGGGGGUGAUAUUUCUGACAGCGUCUGUGGGCAAUUUUAUUCUCAUUCUGGUGCUGUGGAGAAGAAGAAAGAAGCUCUCUAGGAUGUAUGUAUUCAUGCUGCACCUCAGCAUAGCUGACUUAGUGGUAGCUUUUUUUCAAGUGCUGCCUCAACUCAUAUGGGAUAUUACAGAUGUUUUCAUAGGGCCAGAUUUCUUGUGCAGAAUUAUCAAGUAUCUGCAAUUGCUAGGCAUGUUUGCCUCUACUUAUAUGAUAGUGGUCAUGACAGUGGACAGAUAUCAAGCAGUUUGCUACCCUAUGGUCACUUUCCAAAAGAAGAGAGCUCUGUGGAACAUUCCCAUUUGCACCAGCUGGUCUAUAUCCUUGAUUCUUAGCCUACCACAGGUAUUUAUCUUUUCUAAGACUGAAAUAUCUCCAGAUAUCUUUGAAUGUUGGGCUGAAUUUAUUCAACCGUGGGGCCCAAAAGCAUAUGUGACUUGGAUUUUUGUAGUCAUAUUCUUCAUUCCCUCGACCAUCCUUAUCACUUGCCAAGUUAAGAUUUGCAAAAUAAUCAAAAGAAAUAUCUAUGUGAAAAAACAGAAUGAGUAUGAAGUAACGAAUCAGAAGCAAGUCCUGCCAUCCCGAGCCAGCAGUGUGAACUGUAUUUCAAAGGCUAUGAUCAAGACUGUAAAAAUGACAGUGGUGACAGUUGUUGCAUAUGUUCUCUGUUGGUCACCGUUCUUCAUUGCCCAGCUGUGGUCUGUGUGGUUCCCCAGUGGCAUUACUGAAGGAUCAGCAUUCACCAUUAUCAUGCUUCUCGGCAAUCUAAAUAGUUGCACCAACCCGUGGAUUUACAUGUAUUUUUGUGGCCACAUUCCAUAUUGCACAAAUAAGCAGCUGGAGAACACAUCAGCUCAAGAGGAGUCGGUGGUCACAGGAAGUAUUCAUCUUGUAGACAGAGACCCCGAGGAAAACAGUACUUGUACAUAAAUGUUGAAUGUUCUUUGUUGUUCUGUUACAUUUCCUAUGUUCACAAGACAUAUCAAUAUUUUGCAUUGAAGCUGGAAAAAUUGUCUUUUGUUAUUAUAAAUAUAUUUUUUCUGUAGUUCUGUAGCAUAUGCAGAAUUUUCUGUGUUGUACAAGCUUGACUCAAUACUUCUAUCAUCACAGUGCUAUCAAAAUGAAUUCCUGUAUAGACUGACAAAGAUACAGAAAGCUAACCUGGAUAUUUUGUGUCUUACACUACUACUGUGAUUCUGGAUCUGUAAGCACUAAGUUUUAUAGCCUGCCCAACAAACUGAGAGAAAGUUGAAAAACAAUCUCACAUAAUCAGAUUUAAAAAUGUGCUUAAACUGAACUUUGAGUUGGUUGCGACUCUAAUGCGAUUGGGGGAUGGUUUGGCAAAUCUUGAGAAGGCAGCAGUAAGUCAGAAAAAUCAAUUGCCAGCUUGGGAGAAGCCAGUGCUCCAGUCCAACAUGUCAAGGUAAGGCUCCAGCAAGAAGGAAGAGAAAGAAGCCGGGUGAAGAUAGUGCCAGAGCUAGACAGGAAUGGGAUGACUGUAAAAAGGCUCUUCCAACUGCAAUUGCUUUGUUGUUUAGGGAUUUUUUGUACGUUUUUUCCCCCCCCAUCCCUCUCUUUGAUUAAUGGUUACUUAUAUUCUAACCCAAAACAUAUUCCAAUUUAAAGCAGUUAUUAACUUAAAUGACAGUGUCCUUAUUUGGAGUAUGAAGAUCCAAGAUGUAAUCUGUACUGCCAGUAGGAUAUUUGUUGUAUUAAAUCGCUCACAUUCCAGAACUUUCUUUCAAGCAAACUCUCGAUUAGGUUUUCCCUUUUGACUUAAUCCUGGGAUUAAAAUUUUUCUCUUUUGUCCUUCUGGUUCCUUUGAUUACAGUGGAUUACAUAGUAAAAUAUGCAGUGUUAAAGGGAAGUGUAAGUAGAAAGGCUUCAGGGAAUUACCUAUGACCUGGUACUACUGGAUUUGUAGCAAAACACAUUGAAAGACUCAGAAAGUAUAAAUAUUCAAGGAAAAUAGAUAUUCAGAUUACUGCAAAUUGACAUCUAGAUCUAUAGCUGACAUAAGUCACAGUACUGUCCAGAGACUGAAGUGGAGACAUUUGAUGCUAUGUCGGCUGUUCUGGCCUCUGAUUAUUAGAAAAUAUAACUUCUAUUUCUUACAUUUAUGCAUUGCUCACAUAUGUUACUUCAUAAAUAAUUUGUCAGAUUUAGAUUUCCCAAAUAACAGUAGUUCAAUGCAUUCUACAAUAAUCUUAGAGCAACAUUAAGGGUCAGUAUUUCAGAUAUUUUGAUCAUAUACUGAAUGAAAUGCCACACCUACUUUAAAAGAAGAGUGUUCACUGUCUGUAAUGUUAUAAAACAGUGAUAUUUUACAUUCUCAAGUGCUUUCUUUUUCAUUUUUUUCCCCUGAGGAUCAGUCCUGCUGCUAAGAAGAAAAAUAAAGAGUCUGUACUACCGAGACAAACUACAGGCUAUAAACACUUCUACUUUUGUUCCAUCAGGAGUUAUUUGAGUGGCAGAUGUUCCUGAUGAUGAUGAUGAUGAUGAUGAUGAUGAUGAUGAUGAUGAUGAUGAUGAUGAUGAUUAUUAUUAUUAUUAUUAUUAUUAUUAUUAU